rnacentral:rRNA from 1 species
AUUGAACGCUGUCGGCAGGCCUAACACAUGCAAGUCGAACGAGUGGCGGACGGGUGAGUAAUGUCUGGGAAACUGCCUGCUGGAGGGGGAUAACUACUGGAAACGGUAGCUAAUACCGCAUCCCAUCAGAUGUGCCCAGAUGGGAUUAGCUAGUAGGUGGGGUAACGGCUCACCUAGGCGACGAUCACUAGCUGGUCGGAGAGGAUGACCAGCCACACUGGAACCGAGACACGGUCCAGACUCCUACGGGAGGCAGCAGUGGGGAAUAUUGAACAAUGGGCGCAAGCCUGAUGCAGCCAUGCCGCGUGUGGGAAGAAGGCCUGCGGGUUGUAAAGCACUUUCAGCGGGGAGGCGUUACCCGCAGAAGAAGCACCGGCUAACUCCGUGCCAGCAGCCGCGGUAAUAC